GUAAAGGCGCAAGCCGCUCAAUGACGGGCUCGCGGCCUAUUAGCUUGUUGGUGGGGUAACGGCCUACCAAGGCGAAGAUGGGUAGCUGGUCUGAGAGGACGAUCAGCCACACUGGGACUGAAACACGGCCCAGACUCCUACGGGAGGCAGCAGUUAGGAAUUUUUCCGCAAUGGGCGAAAGCCUGACGGAGCAACGCCGCGUGAGUGAUGAAGACCUUUCGGGUUGUAAAGCUCUGUCGGAGGGGAAGAACACAAUGACGGUACCCUCCAAGAAAGCCCCGGCUAACUACGUGCCAGCAGCCGCGGUAAUACGUAGGGGGCGAGCGUUAUCCGGAUUUACUGGGCGUAAAGCGCGUUAAGGCGGCCGACAAAGUUGGUGGUGAAAUUUCAGGGCUCAACUCUGAAACUGCCUCCAAUAC
rnacentral:rRNA from 1 species